AACAGUUUCGCAGUCCACAGGCACGGUUCAUAGGUGAGGCAGAAGAAAUUUGUACGAUUCAACAGUCCAAAUUCAAACUGAACUAGAUCCGACGGUCCACAUUCGUUGUCAGUUAAAAGAAAGAGAUUUGAGCAUGAUUCGAUGGUCAAAAAUCCAUCCGAUGGCUGAUCCGAUGCCUGAUUCGAUGGCUAGCAUUCAUCCUGAGUUUGAAUAGGAGAUAAAGGGUGCUGAUUGAUGGCCC
rnacentral:lncRNA from 1 species